GGGGAUGAUGAGCAAUUUCCCUCACUCUGAGUCGUGAUGAGGAGCCGAUGCUCUGACCA
rnacentral:snoRNA from 1 species